UCUUGUGGGCAGAUGACAGCAGGUAUGUGGUUGCACCGCUUGUACUCUUGUAACCACUAUGAUGCACAUGGAACCAUCCGGUGAGACCAAAAAAAGGGGCCUUACAUAGUAAAUUGCCGGUUUCAUCCUAGUCCGGGAAAAUUUUCACAUCCCGGGUACUUCCCUAGUCUUGGAACAUCCUAACCACACAGUUGAAAGGAUGAAGUCCUGGGUGAUCACUAGUUCAACUCAUUACUCCCUAGAGAAUAAUAGAUGACGGUCGGUCAAAGGUGUCUUAAGAUUCUAGUCUUUAAUGGCAUAUCAUAAUUCUUUCUUUUAAUUCUAUGUUAUGUAGAGUUUAGUGGAUGAUAUCAACAUCUUUCCUUUAGAAUAAAUACACAGCACUAGGCAGAUGAUAAAGGCACACUCUUCCCCUUCUUUCCCAAAAUCAGAAUCCUUAGGAUUUAAUAGAAAACAAGAGGGCAUACCUGAGAAGCCAAAAAGUGAAUGAGGUCUGUGUCAUCUGACUGUAUCACCCUUGUGGAAAGUCUGACAGUUGGAGGAAUAAGAGGCCACAGAGACAAAAAAAAGUACUCCCACCUUUGCUGUUUUUUUGUCUUCUCUUUUUCAGAUUGACAUCAGCCUUAGGAACCCAUAUCAUUUUUGAUUAAUUAAAAAGAGUUACAUAUCACUUAUAAUAAUAGAGAUGACUUUUGAUAACAUUAUCGACCGACCCCCCACCCCCACCCCACUCAUCCUUGGUGGAGGAAGAAAAAGGUCUUGUAAGAGUAAUAUGUCACUUGUAUUAGGAAAACAGUUUUAUCUUCUUUUAAUCUUUUUGCUUUUUUUUAUUUUAUCUGUUUGUGCAAAGAGAAAGUGCAUAAAUCUCAUGGCCUUUGCCAAUGACAUGUAAAGCUGAACAAAGAAAUACAACAAAAUUGUCAUAUCUGCUGAUUUGAAUUGCAUUGAAGUGGUCAAAAACGGAGAGGAGAAA